rnacentral:rRNA from 1 species
GUGAGGUAAUGGCUCACCAAGGCAUCGACGGGCAGCUGGUCUGAGAGGAUGAUCAGCCACACUGGGACUGAGACACGGCCCAGACUCCUACGGGAGGCAGCAGUGGGGAAUAUUGCACAAUGGGCGCAAGCCUGAUGCAGCAACGCCGCGUGCGGGAAGAAGGCCCUAGGGUUGUAAACCGCUUUCAGCAGGGAAGAAAAUGACGGUACCUGCAGAAGAAGGUGCGGCCAACUACGUGCCAGCAGCCGCGGUGACACGUAGGCACCAAGCGUUGUCCGGAUUUAUUGGGCGUAAAGAGCUCGUAGGCGGUUCAGUAAGUCGGGUGUGAAAACUCUGGGCUCAACCCGGAGAGGCCACCCGAUACUGCUGUGACUUGAGUACGGUAGGGGAGCGGGGAAUUCCUGGUGUAGCGGUGAAAUGCGCAGAUAUCAGGAGGAACACCAGUGGCGAAGGCGCCGCUCUGGGCCGAAACUGACGCUGAGGAGCGAAAGCGUGGGUAGCAAACAGGAUUAGAUACCCUGGUAGUCCACGCCGUAAACGUUGGGCACUAGGUGUGGGUCUCAACCAACGAGAUCCGCGCCGUCGCUAACGCAUUAAAUG